CUAUUCAUGGACCAACCCUACUCCCAAAUGACAUGGAUGUGGAGCUUUUAGCACCAUCGAAAUAACUCAAUGAAAAAAGUACAUAACUUUGUUGUGAGCUCUUCCAAAAACCUGCACCAUUGAGCCUCUAAAGGCCCAUACUUCAGAACUCAUUUGGGUGAUUAUAGGAAUGAUGAAGUCAUGACAAUUUCAUCAUCGGGAAGGCCUGCCAUGUCUUGGCAAUGAAGAAGGUGGCAGCCAGACUGAAGGGAAGAGGGGCUGCAAGACUUGGAGUUGGUGAUGGCAACCCUGGAGAGGAAAGGAACAUGGCCAAGAGGUUGGGAUUCAUGCUAGAUCAAGAAGGAAGAACCCAGAAGCAGCCCAGAGGCUUCACAGCUACAUAAGAAAAAAAAGGGGGCCAGGCACGAUGCCUCAUGCCUGUAAUCCAGCACUUUGGGAGCCUGAGGCGGGUGGAUCACGAGGUCAGGAGUUCGAGAGCAGCCUGACCAACACAGUGAAACCCUGUCUCCACUGAGAAUACAAAAAUUAGCCAGGCAUGGUGGCACACGCCUGUAAUCCCAGCUACUCAGGAGGCUGAGGCAGGAGAAUCCAGGAGGCGGAACUGCGGUGGGCAGAGAUCACGCCACUGUACUCUAUUCUGGGUGACAGAGUAAGACUCCAUCUCAAAAAAAAAAAAAGGAUGUGACUAUUGCCAAAACCAACUUGUAAAACAUCACCAUGAUAUGUCACCAAGCUACCUACGAGAUGCUGGGCAUACCUUCGGUGGAAGAAAGAAACAGCUAUACAACUUUGGGUUGCUUCAUUUUUCUCUUGCAUUUCUAGUUCAGGUUGGUUUUGGUGUUCUGUUGUUGUUGUUGUUUUGCAUUCCAAAAAAAAUAAAAAAUAA
rnacentral:lncRNA from 10 species